AACGCUAGCUACAGGCUUAACACAUGCAAGUCGAGGGGCAGCAUGGUCUUAGCUUGCUAAGGCCGAUGGCGACCGGCGCACGGGUGAGUAACACGUAUCCAACCUGCCGUCUACUCUUGGACAGCCUUCUGAAAGGAAGAUUAAUACAAGAUGGCAUCAUGAGUUCACAUGUUCACAUGAUUAAAGGUAUUCCGGUAGACGAUGGGGAUGCGUUCCAUUAGAUAGUAGGCGGGGUAACGGCCCACCUAGUCUUCGAUGGAUAGGGGUUCUGAGAGGAAGGUCCCCCACAUUGGAACUGAGACACGGUCCAAACUCCUACGGGAGGCAGCAGUGAGGAAUAUUGGUCAAUGGGCGCAGGCCUGAACCAGCCAAGUAGCGUGAAGGAUGACUGCCCUAUGGGUUGUAAACUUCUUUUAUAAAGGAAUAAAGUCGGGUAUGUAUACCCGUUUGCAUGUACUUUAUGAAUAAGGAUCGGCUAACUCCGUGCCAGCAGCCGCGGUAAUACGGAGGAUCCGAGCGUUAUCCGGAUUUAUUGGGUUUAAAGGGAGCGUAGAUGGAUGUUUAAGUCAGUUGUGAAAGUUUGCGGCUCAACCGUAAAAUUGCAGUUGAUACUGGAUAUCUUGAGUGCAGUUGAGGCAGGCGGAAUUCGUGGUGUAGCGGUGAAAUGCUUAGAUAUCACGAAGAACUCCGAUUG
rnacentral:rRNA from 1 species